UACGUAGGGUGCAAGCGUUAAUCGGAAUUACUGGGCGUAAAGCGUGCGCAGGCGGCGUCGCAAGUCAGGCGUGAAAUCCCACCGCUCAACGGUGGAACUGCUGGGCAUACUGGCGAUCUUGAGCCACCUAGGGGCAGACGGAACAAGCGGUGGAGCGGUGAAAUGCGUAGAUAUCGCUUGGAACGCCGACGGUGAAAACAGUCUGCUGGGGGUGUGCUGACGCUGAGGAGCGAAAGCCAGGGGAGCAAACGGG
rnacentral:rRNA from 1 species